GGACGAACGCUGGCGGCGUGCUUAACACAUGCAAGUCGAACGCUGAAGCUCAGCUUUUGUUGGGUGGAUGAGUGGCGAACGGGUGAGUAACACGUGAGUAACCUGCCUCCUUCUUUGGGAUAACGCCCGGAAACGGGUGCUAAUACUGGAUAUUCACUGGUCUUCGCAUGGGGGUUGGUGGAAAGGGUUUUUCUGGUGGGGGAUGGGCUCGCGGCCUAUCAGCUUGUUGGUGGGGUGAUGGCCUACCAAGGCUUUGACGGGUAGCCGGCCUGAGAGGGUGACCGGUCACAUUGGGACUGAGAUACGGCCCAGACUACUACGGGAGGCAGCAGUGGGGAAUAUUGCACAAUGGGCGCAAGCCUGAUGCAGCGACGCCGCGUGAGGAAUGGAGGCCUUCGGGUUGUGAACCUCUUUCGCUCAUGGUCAAGCCGCAACAAUGGUUGUGGUGAGGGUAGUGGGUAAAGAAGCGCCGGCUAACUACGUG
rnacentral:rRNA from 1 species